rnacentral:rRNA from 1 species
CCAAUCAAACCGGGAGAUAGCUGGUUCUCCCCGAAAGCUAUUUAGGUAGCGCCUCGUGAAUUCAUCUCCGGGGGUAGAGCACUGUUUCGGCUAGGGGGCCAUCCCGGCUUACCAACCCGAUGCAAACUGCGAAUACCGGAGAAUGUUAUCACGGGAGACACACGGCGGGUGCUAACGUCCGUCGUGAAGAGGGAAACAACCCAGACCGCCAGCUAAGGUCCCAAAGUCAUGGUUAAGUGGGAAACGAUGUGGGAAGGCCCAGACAGCCAGGAUGUUGGCUUAGAAGCAGCCAUCAUUUAAAGAAAGCGUAAUAGCUCACUGGUCGAGUCGGCCUGCGCGGAAGAUGUAACGGGGCUAAACCAUGCACCGAAGCUGCGGCAGCGACACUGUGUGUUGUUGGGUAGGGGAGCGUUCUGUAAGCCUGUGAAGGUGUGUCGUGAGGCAUGCUGGAGGUAUCAGAAGUGCGAAUGCUGACAUAAGUAACGAUAAAGCGGGUGAAAAGCCCGCUCGCCGGAAGACCAAGGGUUCCUGUCCAACGUUAAUCGGGGCAGGGUGAGUCGACCCCUAAGGCGAGGCCGAAAGGCGUAGUCGAUGGGAAACGGGUUAAUAUUCCCGUACUUGGUGUUACUGCGAAGGGGGGACGGAGAAGGCUAUGUUGGCCGGGCGACGGUUGUCCCGGUUUAAGCGUGUAGGUGUGUGUUCCAGGUAAAUCCGGUUCACUUUAACACUGAGGCGUGACGACGAGGCACUACGGUGCUGAAGCAACAAAUGCCCUGCUUCCAGGAAAAGCCUCUAAGCAUCAGGUAACAUCAAAUCGUACCCCAAACCGACACAGGUGGUCAGGUAGAGAAUACCAAGGCGCUUGAGAGAACUCGGGUGAAGGAACUAGGCAAAAUGGUGCCGUAACUUCGGGAGAAGGCACGCUGACACGUAGGUGAAGUGAUUUACUCAUGGAGCUGAAGUCAGUCGAAGAUACCAGCUGGCUGCAACUGUUUAUUAAAAACACAGCACUGUGCAAACACGAAAGUGGACGUAUACGGUGUGACGCCUGCCCGGUGCCGGAAGGUUAAUUGAUGGGGUCAGCGCAAGCGAAGCUCCUGAUCGAAGCCCCGGUAAACGGCGGCCGUAACUAUAACGGUCCUAAGGUAGCGAAAUUCCUUGUCGGGUAAGUUCCGACCUGCACGAAUGGCGUAAUGAUGGCCAGGCUGUCUCCACCCGAGACUCAGUGAAAUUGAACUCGCUGUGAAGAUGCAGUGUACCCGCGGCAAGACGGAAAGACCCCGUGAACCUUUACUAUAGCUUGACACUGAACAUUGAGCCUUGAUGUGUAGGAUAGGUGGGAGGCUUUGAAGUGUGGACGCCAGUCUGCAUGGAGCCGACCUUGAAAUACCACCCUUUAAUGUUUGAUGUUCUAACGUGGACCCGUUACCCGGGUUGCGGACAGUGUCUGGUGGGUAGUUUGACUGGGGCGGUCUCCUCCUAAAGAGUAACGGAGGAGCACGAAGGUUGGCUAAUCCUGGUCGGACAUCAGGAGGUUAGUGCAAUGGCAUAAGCCAGCUUGACUGCGAGCGUGACGGCGCGAGCAGGUGCGAAAGCAGGUCAUAGUGAUCCGGUGGUUCUGAAUGGAAGGGCCAUCGCUCAACGGAUAAAAGGUACUCCGGGGAUAACAGGCUGAUACCGCCCAAGAGUUCAUAUCGACGGCGGUGUUUGGCACCUCGAUGUCGGCUCAUCACAUCCUGGGGCUGAAGUAGGUCCCAAGGGUAUGGCUGUUCGCCAUUUAAAGUGGUACGCGAGCUGGGUUUAGAACGUCGUGAGACAGUUCGGUCCCUAUCUGCCGUGGGCGCUGGAGAACUGAGGGGGGCUGCUCCUAGUACGAGAGGACCGGAGUGGACGCAUCACUGGUGUUCGGGUUGUCAUGCCAAUGGCACUGCCCGGUAGCUAAAUGCGGAAGAGAUAAGUGCUGAAAGCAUCUAAGCACGAAACUUGCCCCGA